AGAAUUCUGGCUGUUCUCCCUGUAGCUCUUCCUCAUGCUAUCUUUCUUUUCAAGUUCACAACCCAACCUCCAUCAUCACCCCAUCCCUCGCCAACAAGCAACAAGCAUGGUGUCCCCUGGGCUGGGCAGGCAGCCCUGACCUGAAAUACACAGACACACACACAGACACACACACACACACACACACACACACGAGAGAGAGAGAGAGAGAGAGAGAGAGAGAGAGAGAGGGAGGGAGGGAGGGAGGGAGAGACUGGUUGUGUACUUUUCAGUUCAGGGCAUCACCCUCUCCAGUUGUGGAUCGCAUCACCCCAGGCAUGGUGACAUGUGGUGAUUUGUAA
rnacentral:lncRNA from 1 species